GACGAACGCUGGCGGCGUGCUUAACACAUGCAAGUCGAACGGAAAGGCCCUGCUUUUGUGGGGUGCUCGAGUGGCGAACGGGUGAGUAACACGUGAGUAACCUGCCCUUGACUUUGGGAUAACUUCAGGAAACUGGGGCUAAUACCGGAUAGGAGCUCCUGCUGCAUGGUGGGGGUUGGAAAGUUUCGGCGGUUGGGGCUGGACUCGCGGCUUAUCAGCUUGUUGGUGGGGUAGUGGCUUACCAAGGCUUUGACGGGUAGCCGGCCUGGGAGGGUGACCGGCCACAUUGGGACUGCGAUACGGCCCAGACUCCUACGGGAGGCAGCAGUGGGGAAUAUUGCACAACGGGCGGAAGCCUGAUGCAGCAACGCCGCGUGCGGGAUGACGGCCUUCGGGUUGUAAACCGCUUUCGCCUGUGACGAAGCGUGAGUGACGGUAAUGGGUAAAGAAGCACCGGCUAACUACGUG
rnacentral:rRNA from 1 species